AUUGAACGCUGGCGGCAGGCCUAACACAUGCAAGUCGAAUGGUAACAGGAAACAGCUUGCUGUUUCGCUGACGAGUGGCGGACGGGUGAGUAAUGUCUGGGAAACUGCCUAAUGGAGGGGGAUAACUACUGGAAACGGUAGCUAAUACCGCAUAACGUCGCAAGACCAAAGAGGGGGACCUUCGGGCCUCUUGCCAUCAGAUGUGCCCAGAUGGGAUUAGCUAGUAGGUGGGGUAACGGCUCACCUAGGCGACGAUCCCUAGCUGGUCUGAGAGGAUGACCAGCCACACUGGAACUGAGACACGGUCCAGACUCCUACGGGGGGCAGCAGUGGGGAAUAUUGCACAAUGGGCGCAAGCCUGAUGCAGCCAUGCCGCGUGUAUGAAGAAGGCCUUCGGGUUGUAAAGUACUUUCAGCGGGGAGGAAGGGAGUAAAGUUAAUACCUUUGCUCAUUGACGUUACCCGCAGAAGAAGCACCGGCUAACUCCGUG
rnacentral:rRNA from 1 species